rnacentral:lncRNA from 1 species
ACCCGUAAAACCAAAGCUGUCUUCUGACUGAAAGACCUCAUGAUGGGCGACCUGACUCCAUUAGCCUGGAACCUGCUAGGCGCUGAGUGCCCGGGGCACCUGGUGGUGCACCCAGGGCGUUCCUGAGCAGAGAGGGUGUUUCAGCAGGAACUUAGUGACCCUGCGCGUGCAGAACCCCGACUUCACUUCACCUCUAGCUCGGGGUAGGGGCUCGCCUGGGAGAUGGAUCCUCGGUCCCUGUCCUUCACCUCCACCACCCCACCGGGUGUUCGCAGGCAGGAAGAGCGGCGCCCCAGGAGUCCUUUUUUAAAGUGACCACUAAAAAAUAAACCCAGUCCCUUGGAAAAGCUGGAAAGCUCUCACGGAGGAGUUUCCCUCACCCGGCAGGACCCCGUGCCCUCUGGCGGGAGGGAGCUCCAGGCUCCCAGGAACACCGCCACCCCCACCCCCAGGAGACUGUGGAUCCGGGGGCUGCGCUGGGGCGCACAGGGUCGGUCCCCGGCGGGCGCCGCUCCCUCGAUCUCACGCGGACAGGAUGAGGGUCCCGCGGGGAGGCUCCGCGCCCCGAGGAGGAGGGGACCCCAGGCCGUGUGCCUGCCGGGGCACCGCGGAGGCAGCCGCCCGAAGGGACGAGCGCCACCGCCUCCCGGGGCCGCUGGGGCAGAAAGUUUGGGCCAGGGUUGCGCCCGCCGCGCGGCUCCGGCUCCCCCGCGGGCCGUGCUGGCCCCUGGGGCGGCCACAGGGGGAGCCGCAGCCCCGGCUCGGGCUGGAGACUCCGCUGGGAGCGCCCCCAGCCGCCCCCCGGAGGCCCCGCGCUCCUAGCCACCCCCACGGCGGCGCCUACCCUCGCGCACGGCGCAGCGCGGCCCCGGGGCUCUCCAGGGAGCCGUGGAGCCCCUUCCUGCCUUCCGCCCAACUCCUUUGCGUCCUCCGCUCCUCGCCGGAGCCUCCCCGGGGCCUCGGGCAGGGCUCUCCGGGCCUGGGUGCGGGGACAGAAGGGCAGCGCACCCCGCGGGGUCCCAGCCCCCGCUCCCACUCGCGCCCCGCCGGGCCGGGAUCUCCGUGCGCCUCGGCCUCCCCCCGCUGGGGAGUUCCCCGCGCCGGGCAUUGUGCCGCCGCCGCCGCCGCCACCACCGCCACCGCCACGACCACGGUCUCUAGACCGAGAGCGACGCUCCCGAGACCGGGACCUCGAUCUAUGCCUGCAACCAAAGAAAAGAAACAAAACUGUCAUCCAAAGCAAAGCAUCCAACGGUAUCUCACAAUGAUUAAUGCUUCCGAAUACUGUAUCCCCCCGAGUGGAUNCCGGGGCCUUCCCAUUCACAAAACCGUCCCUCCGGCCUCCGGCUGGGCCACGUGCCCCGACCCCAGCCCGGGAGGGCCCCGGGCACCCAGACCCGAUGGUCCAGGCUUCUGUGGCCUCCAACUCGCGGCUGGGCCCACCCACUACCCAUCACCCAACUGUCUCCCUACAGGCAGGCCUCUUCCUUCACAGGCAAGUAAUAGCUCCUUAUAGGUCGCUCUUCUAGAUCAUUCCAGAAAAGCUCUCUGAAGACAGCACCAAAUCCUGUUCCCAAGCUCCAUCAGACCCAGCCGGCACUCAGCACCACAGACCCAUGGUGCUCCUGUGUGGGUGGGCUGAAGUUGGCAGCUGUGGCAGCUUGAGCCACAGGACCUGCACAAUGGGAUCCCCCCUUGGAGACAGGCCCCAGCAAGGCUGGCCUCACGGCGAGCCCUAGGGAAUGUGCCCUUCCAGCUGCAGCUGCUGUCCACUAGGGAUCUGGCCAGAAAAGGGCACAGGACCAACCUGUACGUCCUCAUACCAGGAACACCCAGGAGGUUGUCCAUCUUGGGAUAGCAUAAAAGAAGAUUUUAUACACCUCUGACUUGGAAACUUUGUUGGUUUUCGUGUUUUCUUGUUUGUUUAAGUGAGAACAGGGAGGAGAAGCUGAGAAUGGUACUUUGCACUGAUAAUUAGGGACAAAACAAGAGAUUUACUUCAGAGACAUUUUAGUCAAGGGCACACAACUAAUUUUGUUCCCUCUAAAACCCCACUAAAACUACCAAAAGAGAUUUUAUAAAGAUAUAAACACCAAAGAGCUGGAGAACGGGAGGAAAGACAAGAAAAAUGAUAGAGCAGUGGUGUCUGGCCUGGCCAUGCUGACUCCUAACCCCACAGCAGAGGGAAGCUGAGAAACCACCUCCAAGGCUCUGACCAGUGAGGCCAGGGACCCACUGAGAAACCACCUCCAAGACUCCGACCAGUGAGGCCAGGGACCCGUGGAGAUAGGGAAGGCAGCUCAGAGCAGCAGGAUCUUUUUGAGAAGCCCACAGACCCUUGCUGGCUACCUGCUCCAGACCCCCAGAUGGCCAGCCACCCUGGAGGGGGUGUUCCCUGGGGAGAAUGAAGCAGGGGCUCUGUGGCUGGAGGGUCUUCAUGAACAGGUGGCAGAGAGGUAUGUUGCCCCCCCAAAGGCUGAGAGCCCCCAUCAGCCCCAGAGGACUAUGCCCUUCAGGCAAAGCCCAGGAGAGUCCCUCUCUCCUCCUGCAAGUAAGACAUAACCUGGCUAUUUCCCAGCAGAGUGUGGACCAAUCUCCCUCCAGGGAAGCCCCAGUGGGCAAGCCCACCCAGUCCUCAGAGCCUCCAGUCAGCUCUGCAGGCCACUCCCCAAAAUGUGAGUAGACAUCCCAAAAUUUCCAGACAUCUGAGGAAAGCGUUUCAGAGGAGAGCCACCAAACUACCCAGGGCAGUGGUGGCUGGGGGUGGGGGGUGGAGAGCAACUUUGAGGAAACAAAGACGAGAGGGUAUCAUCAACAGCCCCUUUCAAUGUCUCAAAAGGCAGCAGAGAAGAUACUGCAUCUACGCAUCAAGAACAGGACGCUCUUUGAAAGAAGACACUGAGAGAACCAAAACAGGCAAAUUGCCCUAGAAAUGAGUUUCCUGGUUCUCAGCACAAUGGAUGGAAACUGACCCACAUCAAAGUAUACUGACAUACCGAACACUGAGGCCAAAAAAAGUUCCCACAAGUUUCCAGGUCCCAUAAAAAAGAGCCCAAAUGAGAAUGGGCGUUAGCCAUCUCUACAGCAACAGUGAGAGCUAAGAGAUAAGGAAGUGGUGCCUUCAAAGUGCCAAAGGAAAAUCUUUCCUGGCCUAGAAUCCCUAACUUAGCCAAAUUAACAAUCAGCUGUGAGAUUAAAAUUAAAAUAAAAACCUUUGCAUAUGCA